AUGAUGAUGUCACUGAUUCUACUGCUGGCCACCCUGGGGCUCCUUGUUCAGGGUUCAUCAGGACAAAUCACGGUUACUCAGUCUCCUGGAUCUCAGUCUGCUGUUCCAGGACAGGCUGUCUCUCUCAAAUGUAAAACCAGUACAAGUGUUAGUAGCUGGCUCAGCUGGUACCUUCAGAAACCUGGAGAAGCUCCUAAACUCCUGAUUUAUACAGCUACAACCCGUCAGUCUGGAGUUCCAGAUCGUUUUAGUGGAAGUGGAUCUGGGACUGACUUCACUCUGACCAUCAGUGGAGUUCAGGCUGAAGAUUCAGGAGUUUACUACUGUCAGCAGGGUGACAGCAGACCGUUCACACAGUGAUACAACGUCGUACAAAAACCUCCCUCAGCUGGAGAGGAACUGAUCUGACUCAACAGCUGCACUGAAACUAAAACAG